GGAUUGUGGGAGAAAGGCAAGGGUGCCUUUGGGCCGCUUCCCGUGAGUGUUCCCAGCUGAACUGAUUCGCGCUCUCUAAGAUGCCAGCCAGCUGAGGCCAGUCACGGGAUGUGGGGCAAUAGCUCUCUCGUCUUUAUCCCAAUUUCC